GUGAGGGGCCGAGAGGGGCCGAGAGGGGCCGUGAGGGGCCGAGAGGGGCCGCUCCGGGGCUCUCUGAGGUCAAAGGGAGCCCUGUGGUGUCUGUGCCUCAGGCUCCAGCUGGGCUCAGGGGCCGCGCGAGCCCACCCGCCCCAGGUGCUGCAGCGAAAGGCCGCAGAGCUCGGGCGGGCGGAGCCCCUGUGAGGGUGCGGCCCCUCACGGACAGACGGACGGACAGACGGACGGACGGAGCCCUCGUGAGGGUGCGGCCCCUCCCCGGCGGCGGUGUCGGGGGCUGAGGAGGACCUUCCCCGCGCUGUGAGCGCCGGGCCAGCCUGGCUGAGGGACCUGCUGAUGGAAACCCGUAGGGGGGAAGUGAGCAGAGAAGAGCCGGAAGCGUGUGCGUGGGGGAGAAACAGUCUCAGUGGUCCCCUGGGAUGGUGCAAGUCUGUGUCCUUCCUCUUUCUCACACCAGCAUGGACAGCUGAAGGGAUUUUUCAGUGAGUUCCCAAAAAGAGUGACUGAGCCAAGCAGUUGUGGAAGAGGAUGGAAACCCCUUGGACUUCCCAUCUUGGAGAGAGGAGGACAUCUCUGAGAAAUCAGGGAGAACUGCAAGGGGCCCUUCUAAGCUGAAGGACGAGAGGAGAGGAGCACUGGACACCUCGCCUGGGUGUUCUCAGCAGCUGGGGCCAUGUCCUGUUUGGAGGAGAGAGCCGGCCAGCGAAGGGCUGUGAGCAGCAGCACCCCUGGGGACCCCUCCUGGCCAGAAAACGG